rnacentral:rRNA from 1 species
GACGAACGCUGGCGGCGUGCUUAACACAUGCAAGUCGAACGAAGUGGCGAACGGGUGAGUAACGCGUAAUCAACCUGCCCUUCAGCGGGGGACAACAGUUGGAAACGACUGCUCCUACCGCAUACUGAAGGAGGGGAUUGCGUCUGAUUAGCUAGUUGGAGGGGUAACGGCCCACCAAGGCGACGAUCCGUAACUGGUCUGAGAGGAUGAUCAGUCACACUGGAACUGAGACACGGUCCAGACUCCUACGGGAGGCAGCAGUGGGGAAUCUUCCGCAAUGGACGAAAGUCUGACGGAGCAACGCCGCGUGAGUGAUGACGGCCUUCGGGUUGUAAAGCUCUGUUAAUCGGGACGCGGUACCGGAAUAGAAAGCCACGGCUAACUACGUGCCAGCAGCCGCGGUAAUAC